CCCUUAGAUGUCCUGGGCCGCACGCGCGCUACACUGACAUGUUCAACAAGCCUCCUAGUUCGACAGGAUUUGGGAAAUCUUUGAACGCAUGUCGUGAUAGGGAUAGAUCAUUGCAAUUAUUGAUCUUGAACGAGGAAUUCCUAGUAAACGCGAGUCAUCAGCUCGCAUUGAUUAUGUCCCUGCCCUUUGUACACACCGCCCGUCGCACCUACCGAUUGAAUGUUUCGGUGAAGAUUCCGGAUAGGACUUUUUUGAUUUAUUUCAAUUUUGUCUUAAAAGCUAUCUAAACCUCAACAUUUAGAGGAAGGUGAAGUCGUAACA
rnacentral:rRNA from 1 species